rnacentral:rRNA from 1 species
GAUGAACGCUGACAGAAUGCUUAACACAUGCAAGUCGACCUGUGGCGGACGGGUGAGUAAUGCGUAAAGAACUUGCCUCACAGCUAGGGACAACAUUUGGAAACGACUGCUAAUACCUAAUACGGUGAGAGAGAUUUGCGUCACAUUAGCUAGUUGGAGAGGUAACGGCUCACCAAGGCGAUGAUGGGUAGCCGGCCGGAGAGGGUGCAAGGCCACAAGGGGACUGGGACACGGCCCUUACUGCUACGGGGGGCAGGAGUGAGGAAUAGUGGACAAUGUACCAAAGUCUGAUGCAGCUAUUCUGUUUGUACGAUGAAGUUGUCGGAAUGAAAAGUGCUUUCAGUUUAGAUGCGGUACCAACAGAAUAAGUGACGGCUAAAUACGUGCCAGCAGCCGCGGUAAUUC